rnacentral:rRNA from 1 species
UACGGAGGGGGCUAGCGUUAAUCGGAAUUACUGGGCGUAAAGCGCACGUAGGCGGUUUGUUAAGUCAGGGGUGAAAUCCCAGAGCUCAACUCUGGAACUGCCUUUGAUACUGGCAAGCUCGAGUCCGGAAGAGGUAAGUGGAACUCCUAGUGUAGAGGUGGAAUUCGUAGAUAUUAGGAAGAACACCAGUGGCGAAGGCGGCUUACUGGUCCGGAACUGACGCUGAGGUGCGAAAGCGUGGGGAGCAAACAGG